GCGGCCGUGGUCUAGGCUGGUCUAGGAUGGCGGCCCCCCGAGCCGCAGAACCCGGGUUCAAAUCCCGGCGGCCGCACCA
rnacentral:tRNA from 1 species